AGUGGUUCGCCAGCCUCACUUAAAACUGGUGCAGACCGGGGGAUUCCGACUGUUUAAUUAAAACAAAGCAUCUCAAAGGCCCGCGGCGGGUGUUGAGGCGAUGUAAUUUCUGCCCAGUGCUCUGUAUGUCAAAGAAAAAAAAU
rnacentral:miRNA from 1 species